UUUGAUUUUGAGAUGCGCAACUUUCACCACCUAUGGCCUUUCUCUUCACAAUAUUGCCCACUGCAGUCUGUAAAUUUGCUGCUUGAAUAUAUGGAAAACAUUGUUUUGUUCUGCUGGUAUGUGCAGAGAGAUCUGAGCAGUUGGACUGGGAUACACGGCUAAAUAUCAUCAUGGGAGCUGCAAAAGGGCUGGCAUACUUGCACCAUGAUUGUUCCCCACGAAUUAUAUAUCGUGACAUAAAGUCAAGUAACAUUUUGCUUGAUGGGAAUUUUGAGGCUUGAGUAUCUGACUUUGGAUUAGCCAAAUUAUUAGAAGAUGAGGAAUCUCACAUUAGGACUAUUGUAGCUGGAACAUUUGGGUAUCUGGCUCCAGAAUGAAUGCAAAGCGGUAGAGCAACAGAAAAGACUGAUGUUUAUAGUUUUGAGGUUCUGGUUCUUGAAGUAGUGAGUGGAAAGCGACCCACUGAUGCAGCAUUUAUUGAGAAGGGCUUCAACAUUGUUGGCUGGGUACUUCUCUUCCCUACAUGUGUUUACACUGCUUUCAUUUAAAUAUGUAUGACAUGAUUGUGGAGCUCACAAGGCGAAUUAAGCUUCUUAUUUUCCUUGAUUAAUGAUUUCAUAUGAAUCUUCAGAAGAUCAGAGGUUCCAGCCUCCAGAUCACCAAUCUCUUGUUUUGAAGGAAAAAAAAAACAGUAUUCCAGAGAUGAUGUUAAUUUAA